CAGCCGCCACGGUAAUACGAAAGGUCCAAGCGUUACUCGGAAUUACUGGGCGUAAAGCGCGCGUAGGCGGUCUUGUAUGUCGAUUGUGAAAGCCCCGGGCUCAACCUGGGAACUGCAGUCGAAACUGCAAGACUUGAAUGUUGGAGAGGUUGGGGGAAUACCUAGUGGAGAAGUGAAAUUCGUAGAGAUUAGAUGGAACACCAGAGGCGAAGGCGCCCGACUGGCCAAACAUUGACGCUAAGGCGCGAAAGCGUGGGUAGCAAACAGGAUUAGAGACCCCUGUAGUCCCUGUCUCUUAUAC
rnacentral:rRNA from 1 species